CCUCAGUCCACCACGGCAUCUGGUGAUUUGGUGCGGCGAUCUACGGGAUCUCAUCGGUGGAGGCGCGGGAGCACCAGCUGGAGGCUGCCUUGCAAGAUCAUGAAGGACAUAUUUGUUCAUUUCAAGAUAGAGAAUGCUGCAACCAUGGAGAACAUCACUGUGGGACACAAUGCAUAGAUAACCAUUCUGUCAAGCUGCUGUCCAUAUUGUAUCUCCAGAUGUAUCUUUGCAUGUGUUAUUUGCUAUUUCCAAAGAAUAAAAUGGAAGGUGAGCUUUCAUUGCUUUCCUAAGUUGUUUUAUACAGCUCAUAAGGAAGAUUUGCGCACAGAUAUGCAGUUGGUUCUCCCGUUAAAGAACAAUUUACUGACACAAGGGACUCAACAAGAUUUGAUCUACACUAAUGGUUAUUGUGUUUGAGGUUGCUCUUUUUGAAAUUUUAGAGGGCAACUUGAUGGUUAAUCAUUUCAAUUGCCGCAAAGCAUAGGAAGCAAACCUGCAUGAAAAUGAAUAUGAAGGAUAAAUACAUUGACAUCUGAGAUUAACAUUUGAUAAACAUCUGCCUUGCAUACCAAAUUAGUGCUAGUGCAAUGCAUGUACAGUCUGUACAGUUUCUAUGUACAAAGUAUACAAUCAUUACCGUUUGUGUACAAUAUGCAGUUUGUAUGGAAAUAGUGCCCUAAAAAAGUUUGUAUGGAAAUAGAAAAAUUGGCUCAUGGAAAAGCCGCUUAUUUAUGACUUGGAACACAUGAACAGAAUAAUUAAAUUUACAGAUAUGCAGUUAGACCAUGAAUAGUAAUUUUCAGUAAUAUGCACUGUACAUGUACUGAGGUGGUCCAAAUAGUUUCACCAGCGUGCUAGUCUUCAUCUUUGAUGGCAAUGAAAUACUUAUUCUCCAUUAUCUCUUUGACAUUCCACUCUAGCUUCUCCCACCAGUCAUAUGAUCCACAAAUCUGCUUUAGUUUUGGGCAGUCAUACAUUUGACCCAAUGGAAGCGUUGUCAAACGUGGGCAACCCUCUACUCUAAUAAUCUCAAGAUAAGGGAAGUCUCUUGGAUUGCAUAUGGCCGUCAGCUUCGGCAAGUCUGUCAGGACCAUUGUUCUCAAUUUUGGGAAGUCCACAUGGUGUAUGCAUCUGUUUGAGAUCUGGGUGCUAAAUACAUGAUACUGAUCAUUUAUCCGGACAACAAAUGAUCAAUCUCAGUUUCAAGUAAGUAUUUGUCUUUUUCUUAUUUUGUGGAUGCACUUGUGUUAGAUCUUGAAUUACCGCAAGGUUAUGGGCUAUAGAGCAUAUCAUCUCCAUAUCAGUACUUCUACACCUGAGUUACAUGGAAUUUACCACUUUUGACCAUUUUUAAAGUUGAGCUGCCGUGCUUAUACAAGAGUAGCUAUUAUGAGAAAAAACCAAGUGGUUUUUAGGUCAACAAUGAGUUGUGCAUGAAAGUCUGAAUAUUAUUAAUGUUUGGGUCACCUUAUUCUUAACAACUCAAGUGGAUCUCUGAAUCUUAACGAUUCAAGUGAUUAGAGGCGCAGGUCUUAGCUUGUGGAAGAUAUGAAGUACAAAAAUUACGCUAUAGAAGAGAAAAUUAGGAUGUACAGUACAAAUUUCGUUCUAAAUUGUAAAAAAGAAGAAGACAGAGACGAGUCAUAUAAUGUGUGGGUAAAUCAGUUACUCCCUCCGUUCCAAAUUAUUAGUCGUUUGACUUUUCUAGAUUCAUAGACUUUACUAUGCAUUUACACAUAUGCAUUUACUUAAUAGCUAGUCUUGUAUAUGCAUUUACAUAUAUUACUCCGUUCCAAAUCAGUUACUCCCUCCGUUCCAAAUUAUCCAGUUUACCAUUCAUAGACUUUACUAUGCAUUUACAUAAUUUGGGACGGAGUAGUUUCUGUUAAACUGGAUAAGAAUCUUUAGCUAACUGUUCGUGGUAAACUGUCGGCAAUUUUUUUGUGAGAGAGAUAUUUACCUGGUAAUCCCUGCUGAAUGCCUUAAGCUCAUUAUUGAAGUUGUUAAGGAGUGUUGUCUUCCCGACGCCACCUGGGCCCCACACUCCGAUGAUGCUCACACCAGUGCUUUCAAAUGAUUCCCACAAAUCUCUCAGCACCGGUUUGAUGCCAAAGGUUUGUGUCCGUGGUCUCUCCUCAACGAAAUCUGGCAACCUCCUGGAUGCAAAUGUUUUAAAUUGGUUCCCUUCCUCGAUUAGCUCACCAAUAUCUUCUAGCAUCUGGGCAAUAUGCUUGCCAAGACGGUAUCGUUUCCCAAGGCCCAGAACUGAACGACAUAACCAGGAGGACUGCAUCAAUCUAUCAUAUUUGUGGUCGAUGGAAUCACCUCGGACACUGGCUACCCUUCUCAGCCACAAAUUAACUCGAGGAUCACACUCGUUGAGGUGGCGAAAGAUGAGAAGCGUUUUGCAGUGGCUGCAGGCACCCCUGCUUCAUUGAUAAAGCCACAGAUGACAGGCUGCAAAGCAGCACAGAUCAUGCUUGUCUCGGCCAUGGAAGUUGUGGCAAGGAAGGAACAAGUAGUAGUUCUGGAAAGAAGAGGCUGCAAUACUGUCUACAACCCUGUAUUAUGCUUCCACAACACCUUUUGUGGGCUUCGUUUCAAUUUAGUUUGGGAGCCUGGCUAUUUAAGAAUGGCACCAAAGGCAGGGGAAAAGAUUGGAAAGUUCCUUGCAAAGUUGCAAAUUAGCUUCCUGUAGCUCACCUGGGGGGUCUAUUUCGUGGAAGGUGCAGGACACAGUUUGUCAACUAAUAGCAGUCUAUCUCCAAGGUUUGCUUGUGACGAGGAACAUGAAAAGUGGAUGCUUGCGAAUUAAUGUUCUAUUAAUUUGGGGAUA